GCCUGGCUGGCUCAGUUGGUGGAGCAUGCGGCUCUUGAUCUUGGGGUUGUGAGUUCGAGUCCCACGUUGGGUG
rfam:Canis lupus familiaris chromosome 2, whole genome shotgun sequence.